AAUGUAGCAGGCCCAAACUGCCCGAGCCUAGAAUAAUAAAUAAAACCAUCCAAACAUUAAAAGUCCAAUUACAAAAAAAUCAGCCCAAACUAAAAUUAAACACAAAAAUAACCCAAACUUGACCCAAAGAAAUUACAAGCCCACAACAUAUCCAAAAAAAAAAACAACAUAGAAACCCUAGGCAGAAAACCUAACCGCCGCCGCCCCCAACAGCAGCCAUGCGCGCCUCCAUACGGCCACAUAAGUACCUUCAUAGCUGUCCUUUUGUACCUGCAAAAU
rnacentral:lncRNA from 1 species